GAUGAACGCUGGCGGCGUGCUUAACACAUGCAAGUCGAACGGAAAGGCCCAAGCUUGCUUGGGUACUCGAGUGGCGAACGGGUGAGUAACACGUGGGUGAUCUGCCCUGCACUUCGGGAUAAGCCUGGGAAACUGGGUCUAAUACCGGAUAGGACCACAUUUUGGAUGGUGUGGUGGAAAGUUUUUCGGUGUGGGAUGAGCUCGCGGCCUAUCAGCUUGUUGGUGGGGUAAUGGCCUACCAAGGCGUCGACGGGUAGCCGGCCUGAGAGGGUGUACGGCCACAGUGGGACUGAGAUACGGCCCAGACUCCUACGGGAGGCAGCAGUGGGGAAUAUUGCACAAUGGGCGCAAGCCUGAUGCAGCGACGCCGCGUGGGGGAUGACGGACUUCGGGUUGUAAACUCCGUUCGCUAGGGACGAAGCGUUAUGUGACGGUACCUGGAGAAGAAGCACCGGCUAACUACGUG
rnacentral:rRNA from 1 species